rnacentral:rRNA from 1 species
AUUCCAGCUCCAAUAGCAUGUAUCAAAGUUGUUGCGGUCAAAAAGUUCGUGUUAUGAUCUGUUGGGACGAUCGGUCCACCCACUGAUUGUGUAUCUACGUCGGCCAUGGCAUCCUCCUGGCGAACGCAACUGCACUUGACUGUGUGUUGCGGUGCCCAGGACUUUUGAAAUUGAAGUGUUUCCAAGCAAGGGCACGCCUUGAAUACAUUAGCAUGGAAUAAUGAGAUAGGACCUGAGUUCUAUGCUGUUGGUUUCUAGAGCUGUGGUAAUGAUUGAUAAGGAUAGUUGGGGGCAUUACUAUUCAACAAUCAGAGGUACAAUUCUUGGAUUUGUUGAAGACGGACUACUGCGAACGCAUUUGCCAAGGCUGUUUUCAUUG